UACGUAGGUGCAAGCGUUGUCCGGAAUUAUUGGGCGUAAAGAGCUCGUAGGCGGUCUGUCGCGGCUGCUGUGAAAAUCCAGGGCUCAACCCUGGACUGCAGUGGGUACGGGCAGACUAGAGUGCGGUAGGGAGAUCGGAAUUCCUGGUGUAGCGGUGAAAUGCGCAGAAUAUCAGGAGGAACACCGGUGGCGAAGGCGGAUCUCUGGGCCGUAACUGACGCUGAGGAGCGAAAGCAUGGGAGCGAAC
rnacentral:rRNA from 1 species